rnacentral:lncRNA from 1 species
GUUGUAUCCUCUAAACCUCAUGUUGAAUUGUAAUUCCCUUUGUUGGAGGUAGAGCCUAAUGGGAGGUGACUGGAUCAUGGGAGCAGAGUUCUCUUGGAUGGUUUAGCAUUAUCCCCUUGGCGCUGUCUUUGCGGUACUUCUAGCAAGAUCUGGCUGUUUAAAGUAUUGGCUGGAGUUGGCGAUGACUCAGCAGAUCAAGGCUGGAAGACUCAUUCUCGUCAGGUGGUUGACGUUGGCUGUCAGUUGGAACCUCACCUGGGGCUGUUUGCCAGAACACCUACACAUGGCAUGUCCAUGGAGCUAUUUGACUUCCUCACUGCAAUGGCUGGGUUCCAAG